rnacentral:sRNA from 2 species
UUGACAUUAUUCUUGAUGUGGCUUAACGUCAGGAGUGAGGGUAAGGGAGGAUUCCUCCCCCUGGUGUCUUAGUAAGCUGGUAGGCUAAUCACUAAGAGUAUCACCAGUAUGAUGACUACCUUCAUCAUAACCCUUUCCUUAUU